AGAGGUUGCAAGUUUGAGGCCAUAGCAGAAACACACUCAUGGUGCAGCCUGUCAGAUUCCAACAAAUCUGUGAAUUCUGCU
rnacentral:ribozyme from 1 species